GAACAAUAGCAGGACAAAGAAAACUAGCUAACUACUCUAGUUUUCCUUAUGGCUCUUGUGAAGAACAACGUGCAGACUAUGUGCCUGGUCGCUCUUCUUGUAAUGUCUACCACUUUCUUGCCCUCUCAUGUAGAAGGAAGGGUGAUAGAUACCAAGGAGACGAUCCUCACUUCGUGUUUACUUUGGAAAAGCUGCACAAUCGAUUUAUGCAAGCAAAACUGUUCAAUACGUGGAUAUGCUAAGAGUGAAAGCAGUUGUGUAUCAUACAACAAAGCUAACUACUGCUGCUGUGCGACGAAGUGAACGACACCGCUAUGAUGGAUACCAUCCAUCACCCCCUGCUACAUCAAAUUAUUUCAUGCGAAUAGCAAAAAAAGACCAUUGGAUGUAAUUGAUGUACCUGAUUCAAUAAACUUUAAAUUUUACUA